rnacentral:rRNA from 1 species
UGGGGAAUUUUGGACAAUGGGCGAAAGCCUGAUCCAGCAAUGCCGCGUGUGUGAAGAAGGCCUUCGGGUUGUAAAGCACUUUUGUCCGGAAAGAAAUCCUUGGCUCUAAUACAGUCGGGGGAUGACGGUACCGGAAGAAUAAGCACCGGCUAACUACGUGCCAGCAGCCGCGGUAAUACGUAGGGUGCAAGCGUUAAUCGGAAUUACUGGGCGUAAAGCGUGCGCAGGCGGUUUGCUAAGACCGAUGUGAAAUCCCCGGGCUCAACCUGGGAACUGCAUUGGUGACUGGCAGGCUAGAGUAUGGCAGAGGGGGUAGAAUUCCACGUGUAGCAGUGAAAUGCGUAGAGAUGUGGAGGAAUACCGAUGGCGAAGGCAGCCCCCUGGGCCAAGUACUGACGCUCAUGCACG